UGUAGUGGAGUAAGUAGGCGGGGCAAGACCGUGGUUCGAGAACGGUGAGUAAUUGUUAAUGAGCGCCAGCUGUGCGCGCAUCGGUCUCGAAUCACGUAGGAGAUUGGGAGCAUAUAAGAGAACGAGCGACCGGACCGUUGAAGAGGACCGGGCCCGGACACAUGUUAAGUUUAUAUUGUUAUAUUAUUAUUAUUUAUUAUUUUUUAUAUUGUUAUAUUAUUAUGUUUUGUCUUGCCAGCUUUUCGAAUGAAUCGCGUUUUGCGAGAUCGACAGGAUCCUUUAGCGCAGCGCGAUAAUCUACUGAUUGAGAGAUAUCGUUAUUCUCGGGCUUUCCUAACGUUAUUGGUGCCAAAGACUGCACACACGUCUCCAAGGCCCCACCUGGCCCCAAUGAAGGGGAUUUUGUGAACCGAAAGGGAUAACACAGUGUAAAUGUGCAGCAGAUGAAUGCCUCCAGAUGAUGUGGACUCCUGCAACUGCUACUUAUCCAGUUUAAUGUUAUUGAAAUGGACAGUCUCUUACCUCAGUAUCCUAUGUAGUGAACACUAAUGGGUAUCCAUCCAUCCAUUUUCUACCGCUUAUCCGAACUACCUCGGGUCACGGGGAGCCUGCGCCUAUCUCAGGAGUCAUUGGGCAUCAAGGCAGGAUACACCCUGGAUGGAGUGCCAACCCAUCGCAGGGCACACUAAUGGCGGGGAAUAAACAGACGUAACUACGUCUUUAACAACCAGCCAAUAGCAGUGUUGCUGAUCACUAGUUCUUCUAUCGAUAUAUGCUGCAAUGAUCCCAGACAAUUGAAUCCAGAUAUUCUAAUCAUACACAACAGGUGCCUUCGAAGAACCCAAGUAUCCAGAUCCUGAUUUGCAGGAUUAGGUCAUCUCGGAUGUUUCAUUUGAUCUUGGAUGUAGUAAACGAAGUACGAAGAACUGGACACUUCUCGGCUAAAUAAAGCAGUCUGUAGUCUUUAAAUGAUUCACUAUGUUUCAACCUCGUUUGAAUGGUUUUAUUUUGAAAACGAUUGAUUUGUCUGACUCUGAAGGUUUUCUGGUCAUUUAAU